CAGAGCAAUUUUAUAUUAUUAUUAUUUGGGGACAAUGUUUCCAUCUUGGUUGAUAUAGUGCUUGUGGACUGGCGUCACUCCGGAAUUUGGAUAUUUGAGCGCCCCAGAGAAAGGAAUUGGAACUGAUCUUCUCAAAGAUGGCACGACUGUGCAUUUUAAUGGCAAAUCUGUUUCUCGCAUAACGACUGAACUGCAAAAAGAUUUUGACAGACUGGAUCCAAGAAAACAAACUGGAUUUAAAUGCAGCAAAAACUAAAACAAUGCCUUUUGGCUUUCCCAAUCAUUUGAGUUUAAAUUUUGAUUCUCCC
rnacentral:lncRNA from 11 species